GAUGAACGCUGGCGGCGUGCCUAAUACAUGCAAGUCGAGCGAACGGACGAGAAGCUUGCUUCUCUGACGUUAGCGGCGGGCGGGUGAGUAACACGUGGAUAACCUACCUAUAAGACUGGGAUAACUUCGGGAAACCGGAGCUAAUACCGGAUAAUAUUUUGAACCGCAUGGUUCAAAAGUGAAAGACGGUCUUGCUGUCACUUAUAGAUGGAUCCGCGCUGCAUUAGCUAGUUGGUAAGGUAACGGCUUACCAAGGCAACGAUGCAUAGCCGACCUGAGAGGGUGAUCGGCCACACUGGAACUGAGACACGGUCCAGACUCCUACGGGAGGCAGCAGGAGGGAAUCUUCCGCAAUGGGCGAAAGCCUGACGGAGCAACGCCGCGUGAGUGAUGAAGGUCUUCGGAUCGUAAAACUCUGUUAUUAGGGAAGAACAUAUGUGUAAGUAACUGUGCACAUCUUGACGGUACCUAAUCAGAAAGCCACGGCUAACUACGUG
rnacentral:rRNA from 1 species